GGGGAGAAGUGGGACCUCCGAGACCUGUAGGUGGUGCUGCACCAGGGGUACUAGUUGGGGGAGGAGCUCCUCCCACUAGAGGGGAGGAGCCCACUGGAGGAGGUGUUGCAUCUUGAGGAGGUCCCGCUACAUCUGGAGGAGGUGUUGCUGCUUGAGUAGGUCCUGCUACAACCGGAGGAGGUGUUGCUGCUUGAGGAGGUUCUGUUACAACUGGAGGAGGUGUUGCGGCUUGAGUAGGUCCUGCUACAACCGGAGGAGGUGUUGCUGCUUGAGGAGGUUCUGUUACAACUGGAGGAGGUGUUGCGACUUGAGGAGGUUCAACUGUCGCUGGAGGCACCGCUAUCAAUUACAGUGCAUAAGAAGAACUCAGUACCACUUCGAAUUAUUCUUCAAGCAGAGUGGCACAAGGUCCAUACUAAGCAAAGAGUUCUCUCACAGGAAUAUCCAUCAAAACCUUCAUCACAAUAUCAAUUAAAACCUUGCACGAUGAUUGCCACGUAUUUGUGCGAUUAACCAAAGACUGGACCCGGUACUGAAUGUCAUUCAUAUGGUAAUUUCACAAAUGGGUUGCUUUCAGCUGUGCGUUGCCUGUGGUGAAGAAAUAAUCACAAGUACGUAGCCUGAAUCGCUGCAGAAACUCUCCUAAUAUGUUGAAAUCAAAGUUAUGGGACAAAGUUUGUGUGAACGAUCCAUACAAGGAGCAGUCGACUGCAGUAGCCCCCGACGUCCGCCAACAGCCACAGCUCUAUCUCCGAUCACUGUAAACAUUGGAGAGAAGAAAAAUCUCUUAGUAAAGUUUAGAGUGCAAAUCGUAAUGUAAUUAGCUACUCCAAAGCACAAUGUGUCUGAUUUUCUUUGUGAGUUGAUCUUCAUGGUGACUGAUAGAGCUCAUUG
rnacentral:lncRNA from 1 species